AUUACUUAAAAAUCAUACAAUGUGAUUUUCUGGAUUUUUGUUUUAGAUUCCGUCUCUCACAGUUGAAGUGUACCUAUGAUAAAAAUUACAGACCUCUACAUGCUUUCUCCAUUUUGUUCAGAAGUCUACUAGUAAAAGGCGAGCAGGUUUACUUUAUUACUACAAUGAACACUCACCGGACGGUUUAUUAGGUACAGGACCGCGUUCAUGACAAUCCAUUGUUUCUACAGCUAUUAGUCUGCUUAUCUAGUCUUUUAUCUACCAUUUCUCCUUUUUUACAGAUGGAGCAAUUGUGGGACACCACCACUUGUGAACACCUACUCAACCUCUAAGGUGUGUAUUGCUAAUGGACCAAAAAAGGUAACCCCAAAAAAGUUCAACUGUGAACGACCCGACAAGACAUGGAAAAUGCAACGGCCAGAAUUCUGGAGACCACAGCUGUCUCUCCGCUUUCCAAUGAUGGAUUCCAAAUGAUCGUGCUGAUGAAGCUGGAAACAAUUAUCGAGAACCAGUUGGAACUCCUAGCAAUUCAGCUGCUAGCCGCUGGAGCACAAGAUCUGCCAGACCAAGUCCUGCCUAGACCUUGAACGACCAAGGAGGAUUUGGAGGACCUCUGCAAGAGUCUGGAGGAGGCCACCACAUAACGAAAAGAGAUGGGGGAAGGGACCUCAACACCAUGGUGCGCAAGGUACUCUGCAAAAUUAUGUUUUCAAACACUACAGUUUGAGAGGGAGGACCUGGGCCUAGAUUCACAAAACCUUCUUAAGAAGAAUUGUAUUCUUAUUUGCCAUUUUUUCCUUAACUAUAGACUUAAGAAAGUUAAGCAAAGUUGCUAUUCCUCAAAGGUUCUUGGAAAGGUUCUUGGAAAUGUUCUUGCGCUAUUUCUUAUGUUUCUCCCUAAGAAAAACGUUAAGAGGAAAUUGAUUCUUGAAAAUAAAGUUAAUGGAUUUGUUCUUAAUUCCAAGAUAGCUAAACCCUUGUCCUAAACUCUGGGCAGUUAGAGAAUAAGCUCAUGAAAGUAUUUGAACAUGUUUCAUUCACUCAACUUCAUGUGAAUCUGAGCCCAGGUGAUUUGCAGGUUAAUAGCCAGGAGGUUCAAUACUAACCUACACUGAGUGUACAAAUCUUUAAGAACACCUAAUAUUGAGUUUCACCCCCUCUAUUCGUCGCGACAAGGACUCUACAAGGUGUAAAAAGCGUUCCACACGGAUGCUGCCCCAUGUUGACUCCAAUGCUUCCCACAGUUGUGUCAAGUUGGCUGGAUAUCCUUUGGGUGGUGGACUAUUUUUGAUACACACGGGAAACUGUUGAGCAUAAAAACCCCAGCAUCAUUUCAGUUCUUGACACAAACCGGUGCACCUGGUACCUACUACCAUACCCUGUUCAAAGACACUGAAAUAUUUUGUCUUGCCCAUUCACCCUAUGAAUGGCACACAUACACAAUCCAUGUCUCAAGGCUCCUCCCCUUCAUCUAGACUGAUUUGAAGUGGAUUUAACAAGUGACAUCAAUAAGAGACCAUAGCUUUCUCCGGGAUUCACCUGGUCAGUUUAUGUCAUGGAAAGAGCAGGUGUUCAUAAUUUUUUAUACACUCAGUGUACAGUUGAAGUUGGAAGUUUACAUACCCUUAGGUUGGAGUCAUUAAAACUCGUUUUUCAACCACUUCACACAUUUCUUGUUAACACACUAUAGUUUUGCAUCUACUUUGCAUCUACAUCUACUUUGUGCAUGACAAGUUAUUUCUCCAACAAUUGUUUACAGACAGAUUAUUUCACUUAUAAUUCACUGUAUCUGUCAGGACCCGGUGUGAGAAAGUCACUAAUAAUCGGCAGAACCCAGAAGAUGAGGCAGACACGGCAGUACUAGAGACGGUGGUUUAAUCAAAGGAAAGAUCUUCCGGCAAAAAUAUAAAUCCACAACGUCCAAAACAAAAGCCAAGAGACAAAUAUAGAUAUCUUCCAAAAUACAAAGAAAAUCCACAAAGUGGUAAGAACAGCGAAGGAAAAAACAAACCUCAAAAGACUAAUCCAAAAUAAACAAGAACAAUACCAGAGAACCUCUGGAAACUCCAACAAGAGAAAAAGUUAACAGCAGGGCUGGGGCUGGGUGCUAACGUACAAACACUGAGCAAAGAACUGAGGAACACACAGGGUUUAAAUACUAACAAGGGAACGACACACAGGUGCAAACAAUAAUAGAGCAAGGAAAAAACAAAAGGUUCAAAAAAGGUGCAAUGGGGACAUCUAGUGACAAAAAACAGAACAGUCCUGGCCAAAACCUGACAGUAUCACAAUUCCAGUGGGUCAGGAGUUUACAUAAACUAAGUUGACUGUGCCUUUAAACAUCUUGGAAAAUUACAGAAAAUGAUGGAAGGAGACGUGUUCUGUCUCCUAGAGAUGAACGUACUUUGGUACGAAAAGUGCAAAUCAAUCCCAGAACAACAGCAAAGGACCUUGUGAAGAUACUGGAGGAAAUAGGUACAAAAGUAUCUAUAUCCACAGUAAAACGAGUCAUAUAUUGACAUAACCUGAAAGGCCGCUCAGCAACAAAGAAGCCACUGCUCCAAAACCGGCAUAAAAAAGUCAGAGUACGGUUUGCAACUGCACAUGGGACAAAGAUUGUACUUUUGGGAGAAAUGUCCUCUGGUCUGAUGAAACAAAAAUAGAACUGUUUGGCCAUCAUGACCAUCAUUAUGUUUGGAGGAAAAAGGGAGAGGCUUGCAAGCCGAAGAACAUCAUCCCAACCGUGAAGCGCGGGGGUGGCAGCAUCAUGUUGUGGGGGUGCUUUGCUGCAUGGGGGGACUGGUGCACUUCACAAAAUAGAUGGCUUCAUGAGGAUGGAUAUAUUGAAGCAACAUCUCAAGACAUCAGUCAGGAAGUUAAAGCUUGGUCGCAAAUGGCUCUUCCAAAUGGACAAUGACCCCAAGCAUACUUCCAAAGUUGUGGCAAAAUGGCUUAAGGACAACAAAGUCAAGGUAUUAGAGUGGCCAUCACAAAGCCCUGACCUCAAUCCUAUAGAACAUUUUUGGGCAGAACUGAAAAAGCGUGUGCAAGCAAGGAGGCCUACAAACCUGACUCAGUUACACCAGCUCUGUCAGGAGGAAUGGGCCAAAAUUCACCAACUUAUUGUGCGAAGCUUGUGGAAGGCUACCCGAAACGUUUGACCCAAGUUAAAUAAUUUAAAGGUAAUGCUACCAAAUACUAAUUGAGUGUAUGUAAACUUCUGACUCACUCGGAAUGUGAUGAAAUAAAUAAAAGUUGAAAUAAAUCUGUUCUCUCUCUGCUAUUAUUAUGGAAUUUCACAUUCUUAAAAUAAAGUGGUGAUCAAGGAAUUUUUACUCGGAAGACAAGGAAUUUUUCCUCGGAUUAAAUGUCAGGAAUUGUGAAAACUGAGUUUAAAAUGUAUUUGGCUAAGGUGUAUGUAAACUUCCGACUUCAACUGUAUAUAUAAAAAAAAAACUCAUGAUUUUUUUACUCAUAUUUAACCCCUUUUUUUACCUUCAUAAUUCCAUUUGGGGUUUUUUCAACCCUUACUGGUUACCUUCAGACGAGUCCCGUUACACUUGUGGGGGUCGUAGAGCAAAACGGAGAACACAAUCGUGUUCGUGAGAAUCUCCCCUUUCGACAAUUUGUUUGUUCGAUUUUUGUUUUGUUUUGUAACUUAGAUUGACGCAAAUCGACUCUAGGUGGUUAUUCUGCUGGUCUAGCAAAUGGUUUAACUUGUUCAGAUAAAAAUGAAAGGACCAGCACUCACUUGAUAUGAUUUCUAGUUAAAGCUUUGUUUAUUUUCUUAAUUUUAUAGUAGCAAAAUGUCUUAAUAUACUACAUGGACAUAUUUCAGCUUGCGCCUUCCUCAGUGCAUGUGUCCAGUUCUUACACUUGCUUCCUGGCCCCAACAUGACCAGAUGUUUGAUGGUUAGCAAGUGCUAUUGGUUUGGUUGAGUAGCAGGCAGCAAGGUUCCUAUGAGCAGCCCUCUUCCUGUAGGAAGGUGAUCUUCUCCUUGUGCAUUUCCUUUAUUUUCUACACUGCUACACUGAGUGACCAUCUUCAUAGAUCAAACUAGAUACAUGGGGUGUAUUUUCAGUUAGCGUUAGGCAAGUUUGACUUAUGGGGUCUUAACAUGCUGACUAGACCGGCACGCACACGCAUGUGUCCGCCAUCGCGCGCAUGUUGAUUUUGUCCAUCCACACCAGGCACGAUCAGGACACGUAAGUUGAAAUAUCAAAAUUAACUCUUAAUCAACUAUAUUAAUUUGUGGACAGGUCGUAGCAUUCAUGGACUUUUAGCUAGCUAGCUUGCUGUUACUAGCAAAUUUCUCCUUGGAUAUAAACAUUUGGUUGUUAUUUUACCUGAAAUGCACAAGGUCCUUUUUUCUGGAUCUUUGUAGAAUGUUCUCUACUCUGUCAAUUAAUCCCCAGAAAAAAGAAAUCUAGUCAGUUUCUAGUAAUCGCUCCUCCUUCAGUCUUCUUCUUCUGUGGACGCUCCUAAAAACCAAUGAGGAGAUGGGAGAGGCAGGACUUGCAGCGCAUCAAGCAUAAAAAAGAAAAAAAGUUAUAUUUUAGCGCCUGGCUACGCGGACGCUCGUGUGCAGUUUGGGUGAAAUUAUUGGAUAACAUGUAUGUGUACAUUUAUUUUGCAACAUGCAAGAGUUGCCAUCCCUGUCUUAGUCAUUGUGAGUGCAGAGACUUUUGAUGAUGCAGGAUAAAGGUUCCCCUCCUUGAUCCUUUGAUUGCAGAAUUUGAUGCACUGCCAUUAGAACCACUUUCACUGCUACACAGAAAGUAAUCAUCCUCCGUGCGCUUUCUGCGCUGUGCAGUUUUUUAAAAUCCUGAACACAAACUGGUAAAUGGCUCUUACGAAGUACAAUAGGGCUGUCCCCGACAAAAUAAAUUAUUGGUCGACAAAAAGUAAUCUGUUUGAUUGGUCGAAACUUUUAAACAUGUAUUUUUACAUAUACAGUAUAGACACACCCUGUGUGUUUUUUAAUAGAAUAGAGCUUGUCUGAUGCUUACGGUUUGAUGAAAUAAGACAAAUGCCUCAAGAGAGCACCAGAGAUCUAGAUAACCAGAAGAGAAAAAACCUUAACCUGACCCAACUAUUCUCCUCCUGCUGUUCAGCCAGACCCAAGUUAAAGGUUGAUACAAUGUUUCAUUGCUACAGGCCAUGUGUAGCCAAUGUGAUUUUAUAGGAUAUUUGUUUUUUAUCAGGAUAUGCUCUACCUUCAAGCUGCAAUGUUUUUAUUUGUUGGCUUUAUGUAGGCAUUUUUCUUACAUAGUUGGCAAUAUAAGUAAUUUUUUAGGUUUGUAUCAUUUUCAUUUACAUUUGUAUAGAAUUUGUAUAAACCACAUUACAAUGACUGAGAUAUGAAGAUACAUUUAAAAUGAAACUGUUUCAUGAAAAUGUGCAUAUGAAAACCAUAACUGGCACGCAGCUUGGUAGAAAUGGUAAGAUAAAUUGGCAUUCCACAUGCGAAAGGUUCCCGACUCCUCGUGUAACCUAUUACUGGCAACUUCAGGAGGGUAAUGGCAGAAUCCUGAAGCUUGCACUAGCGAACUUGCAACAUUGUAUAAAAUAUUCUGGGCCCUCAGUUUCCCACGCCAGUUAUCUCGGGACAGGCACAGCUGUAGGGAUAAGAAGCAGUGCUUGACUUGGGCAGGAGCUCACUGGAGCUGAGUACCUGCACCUCAAAUGUUCUACUGCUUGAGCUCCUAUUCCUCUUAUAGAAUAUUAGCUCAAAAGUAUUGUGGCGCUCCUGCACCUACAUUUAAACAGUAUCAGCACCCACAAUGAGUACCGGAACGUAUUUCAGUCCAAGUCAAGCACUGAUAAGGUAGGCCUAUUUUAUAACUUUUCCAUUGGAUCAGAGCAUGACAUUUCAUGCUGAGUGGUUAUCGAAUGGGAGAGAGAUAUUUCAAAUACAUUGGGGAACUAUUGUUCUCAAUGGAUGUAAAAACAGACCUAGGGUUAGGUGAAGAACAUUACUCUGAGUAGCUCCACGAGUCAUUAGCGGUGGUGCAUUAAGCCAAUCACAAAUACUAUCAGAUCCCCAAAUGGGCACAUUUAUAUGCCUACAUUUGCGCGCUGACCAGGUAGCCUAUAGGCCUACUUCUAUGCCUGCGCGUCCUUACUCAAAAUUGACAGGAGCGCUCUAAACAAAAGACAAUGACUAAAUUGUCAAAACUCGUUUCUCACAAGUGUAGCAUAGGUUGUGCACUCUGCAAACAAUGUGUCCACUCCGAUAAUGAGAGCGUGAAGACUGGAAUAAUAAUAUUGAAUGCUCUAAAAUAAAUUACCAUAAUCAAAGUAACAAACAUUGUAGAUUAGAAUUUAUAGGAAUGAACAGUAUAUGUACUACUGGUGAUAUGUGUAAUGGGGAAUUGAUAUACACUAACAAUCAAACGCAAAAAAAAAUCACACAAUGAAGUUAUGAAAGAAUGAAUGUGCACAAAUUGGCAGGAGAGAGCGCAUUCUAGACAGAGAAGUGCAUUGUGCAUCUGGUUGCAUGGUCAAUCUGUCGUCUGCAUUGGCCAUGUAGCAUUUAAGGUGAUAUGGCCUCAGCAGAAGUCAGGGCAUUCAUACUUAUUGUACUUCGCAGAGCCUAGUGGUUAGAGCAUUGGGUCAGUAACCAAAAGGUUGCUGGAUCGAAUCCCCGAGCUGACAAGGUACAAAUCUGUCGUUCUGCCCCUGAGCAAGUCUGAUGUGAAUGUCGAUUAUGGCAGCCCCCCGCACCCCUCUGAUUGUGGAAAAUGCAUUCAGAUGUACUAUUGACUAGGUAUCCCCCUUUCCCUGUUGUCAAGGAAGAGAGUUUGUGUUAAUACAGGAUGUACCAUCCUCACCAACCGUCAACAAAUCAUGUCAAUGCGGAGCUAUACAGAGCCCUCCGCAUUGUUAAAACAUUUGGGUGGCGCAUGGCAAUCAGCUCGAUUUGGCCUCUGCAUGCCUCUGGAGGCGCUGCAAUUGCAUCACACCCUCCAUAUGGAGCCAUGUUUUUGGAUCAAGCAUAAAUUGGCUUUUAGUCUAGGCCUCCGCAAUGGAUUUGUUCACUGAGAUGGGUGCAAAUAUAUAUAUGUAUAUAAAAUUUGUUACUGCUCAACUAAAACAAUCUCGGUCGACUAACAGCCUAAUGACCAAACAAUCGACCAGUCGACUAAUUGGGGUCAGCCCUAAAGUACACCAACAGUCAGUGACAAUAAUUUGGCCCAAGUGGUGACCGUCUUUCCCGGUAAGUGUUCUGCUGAGGUCCUGCUCCCAGUCUGCUUGCUUUCUGACCAAUACAGCAUUCUUGCUCUCAUCACCUUUGUGUGUAUGUGACAUGAUUUGUGUUAUGUCCCGAUUCUCUACCUCGGGCUCAGCUCGAGGCCCAAAUUAGGAAUGAACUGUCCUCCAACAACCAAAAUUAGGAAGAAAUAGUACUAUAUGUGAUUAGAAAUGUAUUAACUUGUGACCCACCUCUGACAUAACCAGGUCACACUUUGGGUCCCAAAACCCUGCUCUAUCUCCCUAAGUGUGCACCAAUGGCACCCCCCCAUUAAAGCAUUGGAUUGAGUCAUGUUUUAUUUUUCCAUUCUGGUUUGGAUUUAAAACCCAGCUAAUGCAUAUGAUUUCAGACUUUUCUGGUCAAAGCACAGAUUAAAAAAAUAAAAAUACAAGUUUUUUUUUUUUAACUUAAGAUAAAAUACCAAUGAACUUCCAAAGCACAAUGCUGAACUUUUGGGAAGGACACAAUAUCCUUUAGAACCCCUAUAAUAGUAUAUAACUAAUUAAGAACUCUUUGUU